rnacentral:lncRNA from 1 species
CCCCUGUUGUAUAUCCAGUCUGCCAUUGACCAAAAAAUCAAUCAUUAGGUGGAAUGUGACUAUAUUGGAACCGCUGUGGUAUCCUGAACAAGGUUCCAGUUUUCUCCAACCCCCAUACUGACUUUGCUAGGAUUUUUUUGCUUAAAUCCUCAUCAGUCUCAUAUCGCAGAGUCUGUGAUGGAAGAUGGAAACCACAACUUGAAUACUUCAAAGAUUUGAAUGUGGUUCAUGGGUUGGAGACUUGGUCCUCGAUGUGGCGAGGCAACCAUCAGAGUGCAGUUAUAGCCCUCAACUGGGAGAACAGAGUCCUUGAGAAAGAAUGCUUUCUUAGUUACUUUCUCAUUUCUGGGACAAAGUACACAACACCUACAAGUACCAUAAAGUUCCUCUUCUGGAAAUGGCCCUGUAACACAACCUCCACCCAACAGAUGUUCACAGCCCCCAGGUGGUCAGUCAGGAGACAUAUACACCACUCUUGCCCCCAGGAGAGACAGUGGGAUAUGACAGCUUCUGGAAUCUGACAGACAAGGAACAGUACUGGACUCCAGUUGCAUGACCUUGGAAAUGAUAUUUAUCCCAGGUAAGCAUCAACUUCCCCAUCUGCUGAACAGUGAUAAUAACAUGCUCUUCACAUAGCUGUUGUGAGAACUGGCUGGCUAAGUGUUCAGAGUGAGCAUGCAUAUCGAACGUUUGGCUUUAAAUGCA